GGGUUGUGAGGUUAAGCGACUAAGCGUACACGGUGGAUGCCCUGGCAGUCAGAGGCGAUGAAGGGCGUGCUAAUCUGCGAUAAGCGCCGGUAAGGUGAUAUGAACCGUUAUAACCGGCGAUACCCGAAUGGGGAAACCCAGUGUGACUCGUCACACUAUCAUUAACUGAAUCCAUAGGUUAAUGAGGCGAACCGGGGGAACUGAAACAUCUAAGUACCCCGAGGAAAAGAAAUCAACCGAGAUUCCCCCAGUAGCGGCGAGCGAACGGGGAGGAGCCCAGAGCCUGAAUCAGCAUGUGUGUUAGUGGAAGCGUCUGGAAAGGCGCGCGAUACAGGGUGACAGCCCCGUACACAAAAGCGCAUGUGCUGUGAGCUCGAUGAGUAGGGCGGGACACGUGGUAUCCUGUCUGAAUAUGGGGGGACCAUCCUCCAAGGCUAAAUACUCCUGACUGACCGAUAGUGAACCAGUACCGUGAGGGAAAGGCGAAAAGAACCCCGGCGAGGGGAGUGAAAAAGAACCUGAAACCGUGUACGUACAAGCAGUGGGAGCACCCUUUGGGUGUGACUGCGUACCUUUUGUAUAAUGGGUCAGCGACUUAUAUUCUGUAGCAAGGUUAACCGAAUAGGGGAGCCGGAGGGAAACCGAGUCUUAAUUGGGCGUUAAGUUGCAGGGUAUAGACCCGAAACCCGGUGAUCUAGCCAUGGGCAGGUUGAAGGUUGGGUAACACUAACUGGAGGACCGAACCGACUAAUGUUGAAAAAUUAGCGGAUGACCUGUGGCUGGGGGUGAAAGGCCAAUCAAACCGGGAGAUAGCUGGUUCUCCCCGAAAGCUAUUUAGGUAGCGCCUCGUGAAUUCAUCUCCGGGGGUAGAGCACUGUUUCGGCUAGGGGGCCAUCCCGGCUUACCAACCCGAUGCAAACUGCGAAUACCGGAGAAUGUUAUCACGGGAGACACACGGCGGGUGCUAACGUCCGUCGUGAAGAGGGAAACAACCCAGACCGCCAGCUAAGGUCCCAAAGUCAUGGUUAAGUGGGAAACGAUGUGGGAAGGCCCAGACAGCCAGGAUGUUGGCUUAGAAGCAGCCAUCAUUUAAAGAAAGCGUAAUAGCUCACUGGUCGAGUCGGCCUGCGCGGAAGAUGUAACGGGGCUAAACCAUGCACCGAAGCUGCGGCAGCGACACUGUGUGUUGUUGGGUAGGGGAGCGUUCUGUAAGCCUGCGAAGGUGGCCUGUGAGGGUUGCUGGAGGUAUCAGAAGUGCGAAUGCUGACAUAAGUAACGAUAAAGCGGGUGAAAAGCCCGCUCGCCGGAAGACCAAGGGUUCCUGUCCAACGUUAAUCGGGGCAGGGUGAGUCGACCCCUAAGGCGAGGCCGAAAGGCGUAGUCGAUGGGAAACGGGUUAAUAUUCCCGUACUUGGUGUUACUGCGAAGGGGGGACGGAGAAGGCUAUGUUGGCCGGGCGACGGUUGUCCCGGUUUAAGCGUGUAGGCUGGUUUUCCAGGCAAAUCCGGAAAAUCAAGGCUGAGGCGUGAUGACGAGGCACUACGGUGCUGAAGCAACAAAUGCCCUGCUUCCAGGAAAAGCCUCUAAGCAUCAGGUAACAUCAAAUCGUACCCCAAACCGACACAGGUGGUCAGGUAGAGAAUACCAAGGCGCUUGAGAGAACUCGGGUGAAGGAACUAGGCAAAAUGGUGCCGUAACUUCGGGAGAAGGCACGCUGACACGUAGGUGAAGUGAUUUACUCAUGGAGCUGAAGUCAGUCGAAGAUACCAGCUGGCUGCAACUGUUUAUUAAAAACACAGCACUGUGCAAACACGAAAGUGGACGUAUACGGUGUGACGCCUGCCCGGUGCCGGAAGGUUAAUUGAUGGGGUCAGCGCAAGCGAAGCUCCUGAUCGAAGCCCCGGUAAACGGCGGCCGUAACUAUAACGGUCCUAAGGUAGCGAAAUUCCUUGUCGGGUAAGUUCCGACCUGCACGAAUGGCGUAAUGAUGGCCAGGCUGUCUCCACCCGAGACUCAGUGAAAUUGAACUCGCUGUGAAGAUGCAGUGUACCCGCGGCAAGACGGAAAGACCCCGUGAACCUUUACUAUAGCUUGACACUGAACAUUGAGCCUUGAUGUGUAGGAUAGGUGGGAGGCUUUGAAGUGUGGACGCCAGUCUGCAUGGAGCCGACCUUGAAAUACCACCCUUUAAUGUUUGAUGUUCUAACGUGGACCCGUUACCCGGGUUGCGGACAGUGUCUGGUGGGUAGUUUGACUGGGGCGGUCUCCUCCUAAAGAGUAACGGAGGAGCACGAAGGUUGGCUAAUCCUGGUCGGACAUCAGGAGGUUAGUGCAAUGGCAUAAGCCAGCUUGACUGCGAGCGUGACGGCGCGAGCAGGUGCGAAAGCAGGUCAUAGUGAUCCGGUGGUUCUGAAUGGAAGGGCCAUCGCUCAACGGAUAAAAGGUACUCCGGGGAUAACAGGCUGAUACCGCCCAAGAGUUCAUAUCGACGGCGGUGUUUGGCACCUCGAUGUCGGCUCAUCACAUCCUGGGGCUGAAGUAGGUCCCAAGGGUAUGGCUGUUCGCCAUUUAAAGUGGUACGCGAGCUGGGUUUAGAACGUCGUGAGACAGUUCGGUCCCUAUCUGCCGUGGGCGCUGGAGAACUGAGGGGGGCUGCUCCUAGUACGAGAGGACCGGAGUGGACGCAUCACUGGUGUUCGGGUUGUCAUGCCAAUGGCACUGCCCGGUAGCUAAAUGCGGAAGAGAUAAGUGCUGAAAGCAUCUAAGCACGAAACUUGCCCCGAGAUGAGUUCUCCCUGAGACUUAAAGUCUCCUGAAGGAACGUUGAAGACGACGACGUUGAUAGGCCGGGUGUGUAAGCGCAGCGAUGCGUUGAGCUAACCGGUACUAAUGAACCGUGAGGCUUAACCUUACAACGCCGAAG
rnacentral:rRNA from 1 species